GGAUUAGUGGCGGACGGGUGAGUAACGCGUGAGUAACCUGCCUUAGAGAUGGGGAUAGCCUCUGGAAACGGAGAAUAAUACCCAAUGAUACCAAGCUAUCGCAUGGUAGCCUAGUCAAAGAUUUAUCGCUCUAAGAUGGACUUGCGUCUGAUUAGCUAGUUGGUGAGAUAAUGGCUCACCAAGGCAACGAUCAGUAGCCGGCUUGAGAGAGUGUACGGCCACAUUGGGACUGAGACACGGCCCAGACUCC
rnacentral:rRNA from 1 species